UUUUUUUAAACAUGCUUUUUGCAUUUCCCUGAAAAAUAGAACUGCAGUUUCAGUUCAUAUUAAACCACAUAACAAAAUAGCCUCUUACAAUUUUUAGGGGGAAAAAGUAGCGUCAGUAUCUCUAGACUAAAAUCUAAUCAUCACUGUUGAUCUCUCAGUCCGUGGGAGCCAUUGCCCCCAUCGCCACCCGCCCCUUCUCCCCCCCAUCCCAUGAUAUUUGUUGCCCUGCUCUAAACUUAGCUGUGACAGAACCACUCCUCAUCACAACAUGCAUUGGAGUACAAAAGAUGGGAUCAAGUUUCCUCAGAUGCUGCUGCAUAUCAGUCGUGACGCAGUAAAAAAAUAAGCCUUGUGGUAUGAGGAACAGCUGCUUCUACAGUCACACCGGCAUUUAGAUUCUACUACUCUGAUGAACUAAUGGUCCCAAAUGGAGUUGUUUGCUCUUUAGUGGACUGGGAAGAAUUUCUACAUCCAAGAAACGUCAAACUUGACGCGAGGCUGCACUGAUUUCUGCAUGUUUCUUCUCUGCUCACUCGCUCUCGCCUGUCAUUUGGAGAUGUAGUCCAGCCAUGCUUUUUUUCUGCUUGUGCUCAACUGUGAUAUGAUGGGCAGCUAUAACUCAGCGCUCAUUCCUGACGCAGAAGAGUUUGAUUCCAUUGUAUGGUCGAGUCUGAACGAGCAGAGAGCUCCUGCUGCAGAUGAGACGCUACAGUCAGAGCUCCGUUCUCUGGGAAGUAUAAAAUUAAGACAAGUGUUUGCGUUGUGCUGCAAUGCCGCUCUCAAAACUUGCAGCCCUGUUUGAAAAGUGUGUCUGGUGUGUUUGUGUUCCCACUGUCCUUGGGAUAAAUUUAGCUUUCCUGAGCCGCCUCAUUCACACACAGACAUGUAUUGCAGCUGAAGAUAUCUGCUUUGGCUCCUUACUUGUGACAAAGGCCCAGAAACAGAUGAGUUCUGUCACAGAAAUUAAUAACUUGACCAGAAUCGAAAUUCUCUUCGGCGACUUUAUUGAAGACAAACUGGGACAAUGUCUCUUCAGUUUUGAUUAAGUAACAUUUAUGAUCGAGAAGGAAAGAAGAGAAAACCAAAGUGAAACAAUGAAUUCCUCAGCAAAUGAAGAGAGCACUCAGGAAACAAGUCAGAAUUGUUCCCCACUUCAAGCUGCAGACAAGAACAUGUCGAAGGAGUCUUUCUCCUCGCUGCUGCCGAAGGCUCUCUCUGCUGUGCUAAAUCCAGCAGUGCCCCCAACCCUCAACUCAGAUCCCCGACCAAGAAGCCCAGAGAAAAAUAUCAAGCCAAAUGUUGAACAGCUGCAGGCCGAGUUAAAAGACCUCAGGGACCAGUUUGAACAGAUGAAGAGUCAACACAACAAAGAAAUUAAACUGCUGAUGAAUGAGCUUGAUGAGGAGAAGAGGAUUCGCUUAACUCUACAGAUGGAAAUCCAGCGGAUGAAGAAACACAUGUCAAAAUGAACAAGAAGGAUUGGAUCAAGGGCAAGGGUUUCUGUUGUUACAUAGGCUUUAUGUAACUUUUUAAAGAAACUGACCAUGAAAAUAAUCUUUUUCGUGCUUUUUUUAAAAAGGAAAAUGGACAGUUUAUUAUUUCUUUGCUAAUGUAACUAAUGUUGUGAUGUGAGGAAGGUGCUUAUUAUAUUUUUGUUUGUAGCAAUAUCAAAUAAAUGCAUUCAUUCAAACACAGAAAAAUAUUUUUGCCAUCAUAAGCUGAAACGGAGAAAGUAGUUAAACCAGCAUUGAUGGAGAAGAAGCUGGACUGAAACAGUCUUUCUGAUGCGCUACCAGCAGCUUAUCUGUCAGCCAAUGUCAGUCAGUGGCAUCCUAAUACGAAGUUAGAAUCCUGGUGAAGCUAUCAAAGGAAACGAAGAAAUGAAGAAACAUUCACUUAAUAUAAAAUAUAAUAAAAUAUAAAUAAAACUCGGAGGUCAGAUAUUUUUAGUGAG